rnacentral:rRNA from 1 species
AGAGACAGCAGUAGCCACGGUAAGACGGAGGGUGCUAGCGUUGUUCGGAAUCACUGGGCGUAAAGGGCGCGUAGGCGGCCUGUUAAGUCGGAUGUGAAAGCCCGGGGCUCAACCCCGGAACUGCAUCCGAGACUGGCAGGCUUGAGACCGGGAGAGGAGGGUGGAAUAUCCAGUGUAGAGGUGAAAUUCGUAGAUAUUGGAUGGAACACCGGUGGCGAAAGCGGCUCUCUGGCCCGGAUCUGACGCUGAGGCGCGAAAGCGUGGGGAGCAAACAGGAUUAGAUACCCCAGUAGUCCCUGUCUCUUAUAC